rnacentral:precursor_RNA from 7 species
ACCGAGGAGGAUGCAUCUGUCUUCUAUAUGUACCCUGUAGAUCCGAAUUUGUGUAAAGGAAGUUGGGUCACAAAUUCGUAUCUAGGGGAAUAUGUAGUUGACACAAACACUACAGGUCACAA